UCUGCCCUUAUGACCUGGGCUACACACGUGCUACAAUGGACGGUACAAAGAGCUGCAAGACCGCGAGGUGGAGCUAAUCUCAUAAAACCGUUCUCAGUUCGGAUUGUAGGCUGCAACUCGCCUACAUGAAGCUGGAAUCGCUAGUAAUCGCGGAUCAGCAUGCCGCGGUGAAUACGUUCCCGGGCCUUGUACACACCGCCCGUCACACCACGAGAGUUUGUAACACCCGAAGUCGGUGGGGUAACCUUUUUGGAGCCAGCCGCCUAAGGUGGGACAGAUGAUUGGGGUGAAGUCGUAACAAGGUAGCCGUAUCGGAAGGUGCGGUUGGAUCACCUCC
rnacentral:rRNA from 1 species